ensembl:lncRNA novel transcript
AGACUUGAUUUUCUCCUUAAUGUUGACUUGAGAAUCUACCUAACUGCUGUCUGAAAUGCAACUCCACUCUGGCUCUUUUCCUACUAAGCUGCGAGCUCCUUGAAAGGUGGGCCAUGUCUGCUUCAUGUUUCCAAUCCCAGCACAUGCCUGGCACACAGUAGACAUGGUGCCAUGGAGGAAUGAAGAGGCCAGAGCCUCCCUGAGGAUAGGUUCCUGGCCAUUCUCACUCAUUUCCCUAAGGGUGGGCAGAUUGAGAUCUCCGAGGAUGAUUUGAUUCCAUUUCAGAUCGGGAUGAAGAUGAUGCAGCUCCUAUCUAUCUCUGCUGUUUUCGCCCACGAUACCUUCUCAUCUUUCUUUGGAGGGUCCCUGACAAUUUUCUUCUGGUGGCCACUGCUGAGCAGCUGACACACACAGGGACUGCUCCAUGCUGUCAACUCUUGCUUUUCGUAAGAACUUCUCCCUGGCACAUAAUAGGUCAGCAGGGUGCUGAUUUGACUGUGGAAGCCCUUCUCCAGGCCAUGCUCUGUCUCUCCAAGGAGAAAAUGCAGAGCAUGUUUGGCCCUCUGGUCCCAGCAAGUGGCAUACUGAUUUUAAGGUGAAAUUUGUUAUCCUGGCAAAUUAAGAGUACAUUGGGAGAAUGAGCUUCUCACUGAAACUGGCACAUAAAAUGAGAACUGCAGCCCCAAAUCAAUGAAAAGAUAGAAGGAAGCAACACGCUGCUUUAAAUGAGUUUUGGUCUCUAGACGUAGAGGGACUGUAAUCGCAGACUGCUAAUGGGAUUUGCAAAUGUCGUCUCAGAACCACUAUCUGCAAUCCUCAAGAAACGUGACAUGGGAGGAGUGCCAAAGGACUGGAGAUGGAUAAUAUGAGAGGAAUUUUCCAAAUGUGGAAGCAAUAAGAAUAUAUUGAACACUAGAUUGAAUUUCACUCAAUCUUUCUCUGAUGAUUCAGAGAACAAUUAGAAUUAUGCAUUGCUUCAAGGUCAUUGCACCAAAUGAAGCUUAUUGCGUACUGUAAAUGGGCAGAUGUUCACAUUAAUGCACAAACUGUUAACAGUUAACAGCUUUCUGGGCAACAGGGCUUGAUUUGUUAAUAAUCUCUGCCAGUUACUGGGCACCCCAUGUGCCAGGAGCAAUAAGUGUUUUCCUUACGUUUGCUUCUUUCAUCCUUUCUGCCACCCUGGGAGGUUGCAUUUUGAGGGCAUUGAAACUUAGAGAGAAGGAAUCGCUUCCUUCUCCACAGCUAUACAGGUGACAUGAUAAGAGGCAAGACAGCAGCACAAAUGUUAACUUAAUUUAAAGGUAAUUGAUCUUAACCUCUACUCUGUGCUGCCUAGAAACAUCCAGACUGCAUUCCAUGAGCGAGAGGCCAAAGAGAAGCCAGGAAAGGAGACAGAAAAUAAGCAAUCAUGAGAACAGGCUCCUGAGAACAGCAAUCAUGAGGCUCCUGAGACAUUCCUCACACAUUUCACCUCUAGGGCACAUUUCCCAUGUUUUUUCCUGCAGGAUAAACACAGUUUUACAUGAAAAUGGCAUGAGCUACUUUAAGUCAAGGUUCAAAAUCACGUCAUGUGAAGCAGAUUUGAUCUGAUGAAUGGGAAUCUAGGCACGUUCCCUGUUGAUGUAGUUAUGGUUUCCCGUCCUUACGGCCAAUACACAUCCUCUGAGACCAGUCUAUUAUUUAUGUUUUGUUCAUAUAAACAACCCCCCAACUUUCCUGUGUUCUGCACUAAAUUACUUAUUUUUUAGUAGCCAUGGGCCCUGGUAGGAAGCUAACAAAACCCUCAAGUCAGAUAAUUGAGGGAAGCUUAAUGAAGGGGCUAUGCACGAAGAUCCAGGCAGGGUUGAGGAAAACCAACAGGGUGAGGAUGAAGAUGCCACAGCUCCGCAGCUCACCCGCCCUAGAAGGACCAGGACCAGGAGCAGAAUCCAGAGCUUGGAGAGGACAGCUGGAGGCAAGGCUGUCUGCCCUGAGCCAGGACCUGAGCCUCCCCAGCAGGGAGUGGGCUGGAGAAUCUGUAUUCCAGCCUCACUUCCUUCCCACCUGCAGAUGCUGGCAGGGCCUCCCAACAUAAGUCACAGAGCAAGAGAGCCUGAUCGUUCCCAGGACACAGAGCAAAGUGGAGGAAGCUGCAAGAUGGAUCUGGGAGAGUGAAGAGAAGAUACCCUAGCACAAUCCCCUACUCCUCCCCCAAAAUGAAAUUAAAA